ensembl:snRNA U6 U6 spliceosomal RNA
GUGUUUACUUUGACAGCCCUUAUACUAAAAUUGGAACCAUACAGAGAUUAGCAUGGCACCUGCACAAGGAUAACAUGCAAAUUCAUGAAGCAUUUUGUAUUUUU